AGAGUUUGAUCAUGGCUCAGAUUGAACGCUGGCGGAAUGCUUUACACAUGCAAGUCGAACGAUGAACCUUAGCUUGCUAAGGGGAUUAGUGGCGAACGGGUGAGUAAUAUAUCGGAACGUACCUUGUAAUGGGGGAUAACUAGUCGAAAGAUUAGCUAAUACCGCAUACGCCCUGAGGGGGAAAGUAGGGGAUCUUCGGACCUUACGUUAUAAGAGCGGCCGAUAUCUGAUUAGCUAGUUGGUGGGGUAAUGGCCUACCAAGGCGACGAUCAGUAGCUGGUCUGAGAGGACGACCAGCCACACUGGAACUGAGACACGGUCCAGACUCCUACGGGAGGCAGCAGUGGGGAAUUUUGGACAAUGGGCGCAAGCCUGAUCCAGCCAUUCCGCGUGAGUGAAGAAGGCCUUCGGGUUGUAAAGCUCUUUCGCAAGGGAAGAAAACUUACCAUCGAAUAAAUGGUGAGGCUGACGGUACCUUGAUAAGAAGCACCGGCUAACUACGUGCCAGCAGCCGCGGUAAUACGUAGGGUGCGAGCGUUAAUCGGAAUUACUGGGCGUAAAGCGUGCGCAGGCGGUUUUGUAAGUCAGAUGUGAAAUCCCCGAGCUCAACUUGGGAACUGCGUUUGAAACUACAAGACUAGAAUAUGUCAGAGGGGGGUAGAAUUCCACGUGUAGCAGUGAAAUGCGUAGAGAUGUGGAGGAAUACCAAUGGCGAAGGCAGCCCCCUGGGAUAAUAUUGACGCUCAUGCACGAAAGCGUGGGGAGCAAACAGGAUUAGAUACCCUGGUAGUCCACGCCCUAAACGAUGUCUACUAGUUGUUGGUGG
rnacentral:rRNA from 1 species